GGCCGACCUGAAAAUGUCUUUCUGCCUGCGCUGCCGUCUUCAGCUCUGAUGUCACUGAGUGAUGCUCCUCCCUGCUCUGCGUCAGCCGUCACUCCACCUUCUCCCAGCUUUACUGCUUUAUUUCUGCGCUGGGCUCCAGUUUGAGCUCAGCUCUCCCCUCAGUCUCAGCACAGAGCGAAUAAUGGAGACAACACCAGUUGGCUUUGCUGCUCCAGGUUAUGCUCCACCUGCAGCUCCACCUGGACUGGAAUACCUCACACAGGUUUUCCUACCUCAGUAGCCGCCGUGUUUCCGUCUGUUAUCUCACUGCGUUCCGUGAUGUUCCCGGAGGAACGUAAUUUCACUCCACUGUGUAUCUGUACAGAGAUGGAAUGACAAUAAAAGCCUCUUGACUUGAAACCAAUUUUCAAAUGUAAGACAUUCUGGACGUUAAUUUUAUUAGAAUUUCAUUCUGAAUAUUAAUUUUACUAGAAC
ensembl:lncRNA